rnacentral:rRNA from 1 species
UACUCCCUGAACGUGCCCCAUCUCGUCUGAUCUUGGAAGCUAAGCAGGGUCAGGCCUGGUUAGUACUUGGAUGGGAGACCACCAGGGACUGCCAGGUG